AAGAUAUACAUUAAUUUAUAAACACUGAACAGUAUAGUUUUGUCAUCUGGUACAGGUUGUCAGUGAUGAAAUGGCUUCUAUUGGUGUUUAUAGUCGUCACAAUAGAUUUCAAAACCGAAACAGUAUAGAAGACAGUAACAGGAGUGACAGUGAUGAAUCAAAUAGCGGAAACAACCCUAUUAAACUCGAAAGUAUGAGCCGAGUCACGUUGAAAUCAGAAAUGACAAAGUCCAUGGAUGAGGCAACAGAAUGUGGUCAUUCUUUGCAUGGAACAAACUUGUCUGCAUUAAUGACAAAUAAACAAUACAGCAUUGUUGUUGGUAUUGAAAUCAAAAACUUGACAAAUUUUCCUCUGACCAAACCAAAAACGAAGACAUAUUCAGGAUACAUGUCAACACCCGCAGUUUCAGUAAGACCUGGACAUAAAGAGGCAAUGGGUUCUUAUAACAUCUCAAUUUUCAAACAGUUACAGACUUUUCAUAGAAAUUUUCCAACCAGAAAUAGGUAAACAAAUGUAUUGAUAUUAAUUUGAAAAAGGUCGAUUUCUAUCCGACGUAGCUCAAAAAUAAAAAAUAUUUGAACGUUGGCCUCAGAGACUCUGAAGGUUGCUUUUCUAAAUGCUCAAAAUAUAUCUGACAGAAACGAGUAGU